AACGAACGCUGGCGGCGCGUCUUAAGCAUGCAAGUCGAGCGGCAAGGGGGAGCAAUCCCCCCUAGAGCGGCGGACUGGUGAGUAACACGUGGGUGAUCUACCCUGGGGAUGGGGAUAGCCCGUGGAAACACGGGGUAAUACCGAAUACGAUGGCCGGACUGAGGUCCGGUCAGGAAAGGCCCGUAUGGGCCGCCCUGGGAUGAGCCUGCGGCUGAUUAGCUUGUUGGCGGGGUAACGGCCCACCAAGGCGAUGAUCAGUAGCCGGCCUGAGAGGGUGAACGGCCACAUUGGGACUGAGAUACGGCCCAAACUCCUACGGGAGGCAGCAGCUAAGAAUAUUCCGCAAUGGGCGAAAGCCUGACGGAGCGACGCCGCGUGGAUGAGGAAGGCCGAAAGGUUGUAAAAUCCUUUUGCUGGGGAAGAAUAAGCGUGGGAGGGAAUGCCCGCGCGAUGACAUGAACCGGCGAAUAAGCCCCGGCCAACUACGUGCCAGCCGCCGCAGUAAAAC
rnacentral:rRNA from 1 species